GUGAGGAAUUUUCCGCAAUGGGCGAAAGCCUGACGGAGCAAUGCCGCGUGAAGGAUGAAGGCCUAUGGGUUGUAAACUUCUUUUCUCAGAAAAGAAUUAUGACGGUAUCUGAGGAAUAAGCAUCGGCUAACUCUGUGCCAGCAGCCGCGGUAAGACAGAGGAUGCAAGCGUUAUCCGGAAUGAUUGGGCGUAAAGCGUCUGUAGGUUGUUUAAAAAGUAUUCUGUCAAAGAUUAGGGCUUAACCCUAGAUAGGCAGAAUAAACUUUUAAGCUAGAGUUUGGUAGAGGCAGAGGGAAUUCCCGGUGGAGCGGUGAAAUGCGUAGAUAUCGGGAGGAACACCAAAGGCGAAGGCACUCUGCUGGGCCAAUACUAACACUGAGAGACGAAAGCGAGGGGAGCAAAUGGGAUUAGAUACCCCAGUAGUCA
rnacentral:rRNA from 1 species